rnacentral:rRNA from 1 species
CAUGACGGCGCCACUAGCCCCAGAGUUUGAUCCGGCUCAGGACGAACGCUGGCUGCGUGCUUAACACAUGCAAGUCGAACGCUGAAGCCGACAGCUUGCUGUUGGUGGAUGAGUGGCGAACGGGUGAGUAACACGUGAGUAACCUGCCCCUGAUUUCGGGAUAAGCCUGGGAAACUGGGUCUAAUACCGGAUACGACCAACCCUCGCAUGAGGGUUGGUGGAAAGUUUUUCGAUCGGGGAUGGGCUCGCGGCCUAUCAGCUUGUUGGUGGGGUAAUGGCCCACCAAGGCGACGACGGGUAGCCGGCCUGAGAGGGCGACCGGCCACACUGGGACUGAGACACGGCCCAGACUCCUACGGGAGGCAGCAGUGGGGAAUAUUGCACAAUGGGGGAAACCCUGAUGCAGCGACGCAGCGUGCGGGAUGACGGCCUUCGGGUUGUAAACCACUUUCAGCAGGGAAGAAGCCGCAAGGUGACGGUACCUGCAGAAGAAGUACCGGCUAACUACGUGCCAGCAGCCGCGGUAAUACGUAGGUACGAGCGUUGUCGGAAUUAUUGGGCGUAAAGAGCUCGUAGGUGGUUGGUCACGUCUGCUGUGGAAACGCAACGCUUAACGUUGCGCGUGCAGUGGGUACGGGCUGACUAGAGUGCAGUAGGGAGUCUGGAAUUCCUGGUGUAGCGGUGAUGCGCGAUAUCAGGAGGAACACCGGUGGCGA